UUACAUUACACUAAAUCAUUGUGUAUCCCUCCGUGGUCCAUUCGAAAGUAGUGCCUAUUUCUAAAGAGUUCCUUUUCUCUUCUUGAAUAUAAGCCAUUUAACAAUGUGAGACAUGACUUUUGUGGUUAUUUGUAAUAUCCUGUAUGUGUCUGGAGUACUUUGAUGCCUUGGAUUGGAAGCUAACUUAAAAGAUGAACUUUUGAGGGUGUGUUUUCUAUUGUGUGGGGCUUUUGUCGAAAUUAGGAUUCCGAAACACGUUUUUCUACGGUGGGUUCAUUCGACAGCGAUUUACUUUCUUAGAAGUUGCGAGACGGUAUGUUUUUGAUUGCAAUUAUUGGAAGAUGACAGAUCCAUCUUUAAAAUGAUACCAGGUUCGGAAAAAUUGAUACGUCGGAAAGGCAAGAAAAAUGCUGUGAAAGUUGUCAGUUUUAUAAUGGGACCCUAUGGGAAUCGGAAUUAGUGUAAUAUAACCUUAAAAAAGCACAUUUACUGCAAUGUCAAGGUCACAUGGAUUCGUCUGCAAGCGAGACAAGUAGAAAAUGAAUUUUAAUGAAUGUUUUGAUGAUUUGGGUGCUAAAAUAGAUGAGAGGUGUCAAUAUUUUGGUCCAAAUGGAUGUUUUAGGUGGUUUUAGACGGUUCCGGAUGGGUGGGGGACCUGGUAUGGACAAGUAAGGGUAACAUUUCCAACAAAUCUUAAAUGUAAAUAUUAUUAUGUCCAUAGAUUGAAGUUUCAGGUGGAGAGCAAGAUGAAAAAUAUGCAAAAUUACAUGCAUGCAACCCAUUUAUGCCAUUUUUCUCUUUGUUUGUAGGCCUGACCGUUUGUCCUUGAGCCGUAGAUGGUCAACAAUCCGCUAGCUGUCUUGCUCUGACUGGUGCACUGGACAUGAUUUCAAUAGUCAGCCAGACCAUGAUUGAGCUUAAGGAUUGUGCUGCGGAUGCAGCCUGUGCAGUUCCGGGAGAAAGUCACUGUCUCGGGCAAUGCGGUCUGGUAUCAGGUCUGGAUGAUCCUUGCCUGACUGCGGGUUUGUGUACACCUCAAUCCGACUCUGUGUCCUGAACAGAGGCCGCAGUGGUGCAGCGCUUGUGGACGAUCCAUCAACAUCCUGAAAGGUCAACACUACACCAAGCUGGGAAAAUUGAUCCUGAUAGUCAUCCCCAGGUAGUGGAAUGAAUGUUCACUGAACUACAGAGGAAUCACAUCCAAAUGACUUUCCUGCCACGACAUUAGUGUGGCCACUCGCGUAGGAAUUCCUUAGCAAACAUGCUCUUUUGCAUGGUGACUGUGGACAUUUUUGCAAAACUUACGCUUUCAACACUGGAUUUUAAAGAGAAUACUUAAUAAAAUGUCGCUAACAGGACUUAUUUAUAUGAGAGAGACUAUCUGGAUGCGCAUUAAGUGUCACUUUGUGUCGUAAGCUGUUGAAGGAGCGAUUUGCGCCUUUUUAAGUGUUAAUUUUGGGUAGCCGGCUUGUAUCAGCUUGAAAGCUGAAAAUUAUGCCUCUCAUCAUAAUAGCAUUAAUUUUUGUAAUUGCAGUGUGUAUGUUUAGAUUGUAAGUGAAGCUUUUAAUAAUAAUUUUCUUAAAAAACAUGA